UACGGAGGGUGCAAGCGUUAUCCGGAUUCACUGGGUUUAAAGGGUGCGUAGGUGGGUUGGUAAGUCAGUGGUGAAAAUCUCCGUGCUUAACAUGGAAACUGCCAUUGAUACUACUGAUCUUGAAUUUUCAGGAGGUAAGCGGAAUAUGUCAUGUAGCGGUGAAAUGCUUAGAUAUGACAUAGAACACCAAUUGCGAAAGGCAGCUUACUACAGGAAUAUUGACACUGAUGCACGAAAGCGUGGGGGAUCAAACAGG
rnacentral:rRNA from 1 species